GACGAACGCUGGCGGCGUGCUUAACACAUGCAAGUCGAACGGAAAGGCCCUUCGGGGUACUCGAGUGGCGAACGGGUGAGUAACACGUGGGUGAUCUGCCCUGCACUUUGGGAUAAGCCUGGGAAACUGGGUCUAAUACCGGAUAGGACUACGGCCUGCAUGGGUUGUGGUGGAAAGCUUUUGCGGUGUGGGAUGGGCCCGCGGCCUAUCAGCUUGUUGGUGGGGUGAUGGCCUACCAAGGCGACGACGGGUAGCCGGCCUGAGAGGGUGACCGGCCACACUGGGACUGAGAUACGGCCCAGACUCCUACGGGAGGCAGCAGUGGGGAAUAUUGCACAAUGGGCGCAAGCCUGAUGCAGCGACGCCGCGUGGGGGGAUGACGGCCUUCGGUUGUAACCUACUUUCUAGUAGGGACGAAGCGUAAGUGACGGUACCUAUAGAAGAAGCA
rnacentral:rRNA from 1 species